CCACCUUGCACCUGGAAACAAUACAAUAAAUUGCAAAUUUCUGAACAAGUAACGGAUUGGAACCAAAUAAAAAAAACAGAACUGACAUGUUGUUGGACAAAAUUAGACAUGUGAAAAAUCUCAGCAAACGUAUGAGGUGCGUAUCACUUACCGGCGGCGGUGACAUCAUCCAGAGUGAAAGUCUCGAGUGAUUCGACAAGAACGUCAGUUUGGUCAGGCUUGGUCUCGUCUCCUGGCAGGAGUUGACAGCGCUGAGGCAGCACGUCACAUGAAGGACAACACACACCCUCCUGCAUCACAUAAGGUUCGAUUUGCAUCAAAACUGUGGGCAACACUAACGGUGGGUGACAUAAAUUGGACAACCCACUUGGCCUAGACUGACAAAGCCGCUCUUGGUUGUAUCACCAUUCUACUACACGGAACUAUUCUGAAGAGUUUCACUGACUGUUGAGACAACUGAAGGGGUCAUGGACAGGGACUCACGCAUGCACUGCCACCACCAGAUUCAAGUGUCAAGUUGCCUCACCUGCUGCUGUAGCUGCUCAUUGAUCUGCGCCAGAUGUUUGAGGUGUGCCGCCUGAUUCUGCUGUUGUUGCAGUGCCGCCUGGUAUGCCACCUGUUGCUUACGCAUGUUCUUGCCUUCUUUCUUAGAAACAGGUUUGGCCUUAGGCCGGUCGCUGAUCGCAGUUGUCUGUCGAGAGAUUAACAUGUCAGCUCCAUGGUAUUCAAGAAUGGGAGUCAAACGUUUCAUUGUUAUUCAAAGAAAUAUUAAACACUUUUUUAAAGUCUUUGU